rnacentral:rRNA from 1 species
UACGGGGGGGGCAAGCGUUGUUCGGAAUUACUGGGCGUAAAGGGCUCGUAGGCGGCCAACUAAGUCAGACGUGAAAUCCCUCGGCUUAACCGGGGAACUGCGUCUGAUACUGCCAUGACUGGAGUCCGGGUAGGAGGAGUGUGGAAUUCCCGGUGUAGCGGUGAAAUGCGCAGAUAUCGGGAGGAACACCCGUAGCGAAGGCGGCACUCUGGGCCGGUACUGACGCUGAGGAGCGAAAGCGUGGG